rnacentral:rRNA from 1 species
AACAAGGUCUCCGUUGGUGAACCAGCGGAGGGAUCAUUACCGAGUUUACAACUCCCAAACCCCUGUGAACAUACCAAUUGUUGCCUCGGCGGAUCAGCCCGCUCCCGGUAAAACGGGACGGCCCGCCAGAGGACCCCUAAACUCUGUUUCUAUAUGUAACUUCUGAGUAAAACCAUAAAUAAAUCAAAACUUUCAACAACGGAUCUCUUGGUUCUGGCAUCGAUGAAGAACGCAGCAAAAUGCGAUAAGUAAUGUGGAUUGCAGAAUUCAGUGAAUCAUCGAAUCUUUGAACGCACAUUGCGCCCGCCAGUAUUCUGGCGGGCAUGCCUGUUCGAGCGUCAUUUCAACCCUCAAGCCCAGCUUGGUGUUGGGACUCGCGAGUCAAAUCGCGUUCCCCAAAUUGAUUGGCGGUCACGUCGAGCUUCCAUAGCGUAGUAGUAAAACCCUCGUUACUGGUAAUCGUCGCGGCCACGCCGUUAAACCCCAACUUCUGAAUGUUGACCUCGGAUCAGGUAGGAAUACCCGCUGAACUUAAGCAUAUC